rnacentral:rRNA from 1 species
AAAGCGGAAUUCCUAGUGUAGCGGUGAAAUGCGUAGAUAUUAGGAGGAACACCAGCGGCGAAGGCGGCUUUCUGGACUGUAACUGACACUGAGGCACGAAAGCGUGGGUAGCAAACAGGAUUAGAUACCCUGGUAGUCCACGCCGUAAACGAUGAGCACUAGGUGUUGGGCCCGUUAGGGCUCAGUGCCGCAGUUAACGCAAUAAGUGCUCCGCCUGGGGAGUACGCUCGCAAGAGUAAAACUCAAAGGAAUUGACGGGGACCCGCACAAGCAGCGGAGCAUGUGGUUUAAUUCGAAGCAACGCGAAGAACCUUACCAGGGCUUGACAUCCUGCUGACAGGACCUUAACCGGUCCCUUCUUCGGACAGCAGAGACAGGUGGUGCAUGGUUGUCGUCAGCUCGUGUCGUGAGAUGUUGGGUUAAGUCCCGCAACGAGCGCAACCCUUGUCGCUAGUUACUAACAUUCAGUUGAGGACUCUAGCGAGACUGCCGAGGUCAACUCGGAGGAAGGUGGGGAUGACGUCAAAUCAUCAUGCCCCUUAUGUUCUGGGCUACACACGUGCUACAAUGGUCGGUACAAUGAGAGGCAAUACUGUGAAGUGGAGCAAAUCACCAAAACCGAUCCCAGUUCGGAUUGUAGGCUGCAACUCGCCUACAUGAAGUUGGAGUUGCUAGUAAUCGCAGAUCAGAAUGCUGCGGUGAAUGCGUUCCCGGGUCUUGUACACACCGCCCGUCACACCAUGGAAGUUGGGGGUGCCCGAAGUCGGUUAGUUAAUCUAUCGCCUAAGGCAAAACCAAUGACUGGGGUGAAGUCGUAACAAGGUAGCCGUAUCGGAAGGUGCGGCUGGAUCA